UACAGAGGUCUCGAGCGUUAGGCGGAAUCACUGGGCUUAAAGCGUGUGUAGGCGGGCCGUUAAGUGUCUUGUGAAAUCCCCCGGCUCAACCGGGGAAUUGCUGGGCAUACUGGCGGUCUUGAGCAGUUCAGGGGCAGAUGGAACAAGUGGUGGAGCGGUGAAAUGCGUAGAUAUCGCUUGGAACGCCCAAAGGUGAAAACAGGUUGCUGGGGUUGUGCCGACGCUGAGGACACGAAAAGCCAGGGGAGCCAAAGCGGG
rnacentral:rRNA from 1 species